AGUGAACGCUGGCGGUAGGCCUAACACAUGCAAGUCGAACGGCAGCACAGUAAGAGCUUGCUCUUACGGGUGGCGAGUGGCGGACGGGUGAGGAAUACAUCGGAAUUUACUUUUUCGUGGGGGAUAACGUAGGGAAACUUACGCUAAUACCGCAUACGACCUACGGGUGAAAGCAGGGGAUCUUCGGACCUUGCGCGAUUGAAUGAGCCGAUGUCGGAUUAGCUAGUUGGCGGGGUAAAGGCCCACCAAGGCGACGAUCCGUAGCUGGUCUGAGAGGAUGAUCAGCCACACUGGAACUGAGACACGGUCCAGACUCCUACGGGAGGCAGCAGUGGGGAAUAUUGGACAAAGGGCGCAAGCCUGAUCCAGCCAUACCGCGUGGGUGAAGAAGGCCUUCGGGUUGUAAAGCCCUUUUGUUGGGAAAGAAAAGCAGCAGGUUAAUACCCCGCUGUUCUGACGGUACCCAAAGAAUAAGCACCGGCUAACUUCGUG
rnacentral:rRNA from 1 species